CAUAUGGAUUCCUACGGGAGGCAGCAGUGAGGAAUAUUGGACAAUGGAUGGAAAUCUGAUCCAGCCAUGCCGCGUGCAGGAAGACGGCCCUAUGGGUUGUAAACUGCUUUUGUAUGGGAGCAAUAAGGUCUAUGCGUAGACUGAUGAGAGUACCAUACGAAUAAGCAUCGGCUAACUCCGUGCCAGCAGCCGCGGUAAUACGGGGGAUGCAAGCGUUAUCCGGAUUUAUUGGGUUUAAAGGGUGCGUAGGCGGUUUGAUAAGUCAGCGGUGAAAUAUUUCAGCUUAACUGAAAGGGUGCCGUUGAUACUGUCAGGCUUGAAUAUGGUUGCUGUGGGUGGAAUGUGUGGUGUAGCGGUGAAAUGCUUAGAUAUCACACAGAAUAUCGAUUGCGAAGGCAGCUCACAAAGCCAUUAUUGACGCUGAUGCACGAAAGUGUGGGGAUCAAACAGGAUUAGAUACCCUGGUAGUCCACACUGUAAACGAUGAUAACUCGCUGUCGGCGAUACACAGUCGGUAGCCAAGCGAAAGCGAUAAGUUAUCCACCUGGGGAGUACGACCGCAAGGUUGAAACUCAAAGGAAUCGACGGGGGCCCGCACAAGCGGAGGAACAUGAGGUUUAAUUCGAUGAUACGCGAGGAACCUUACCCGGGCUCGAACGGUGCAGGAAUACGUCAGAGAUGAUGUAGCUAGCAAUAGUCUGUAUCGAGGUGCUGCAUGGUUGUCGUCAGCUCGUGCCGUGAGGUGUCGGCUUAAGUGCCAUAACGAGCGCAACCCUUGUCGUUAGUUGCCAUCAGGUAAUGCUGGGAACUCUAGCGAGACUGCCACCGUAAGGUGUGAGGAAGGGGGGGAUGACGUCAAAUCAGCACGGCCCUUACGUCCGGGGCGACACACGUGUUACAAUGGUAGGUACAGAGGGCAGCUACCCAGCAAUGGGGUGCGAAUCUCAAAAGCCUAUCUCAGUUCGGAUCGGAGUCUGCAACUCGACUCCGUGAAGUUGGAUUCGCUAGUAAUCGCGCAUCAGCCAUGGCGCGG
rnacentral:rRNA from 1 species